UACGGGGGGGGCAAGCGUUGUUCGGAAUUACUGGGCGUAAAGGGCUCGUAGGUGGCCAACUAAGUCAGACGUGAAAUCCCUCGGCUUAACCGGGGAACUGCGUCUGAUACUGGAUGGCUAGAGAUUGGGAGAGGGAUGCGGAAUUCCAGGUGUAGCGGUGAAAUGCGUAGAUAUCUGGAGGAACACCGGUGGCGAAGGCGGCAUCCUGGACCAACACUGACGCUGAGGGGCGAAAGCCAGGGGAGCAAACGGG
rnacentral:rRNA from 1 species